UGGUGGCGAGUGGCGAACGAGUGAGUAAUGUAUCGGAACGUACCUUUCAGUGGGGGAUAACGUAGCGAAAGUUACGCUAAUACCGCAUAUUCUGUGAGCAGGAAAGCAGGGGAUCGCAAGACCUUGCGCUGAUUGAGCGGCCGAUAUCAGAUUAGCUAGUUGGUGAGGUAAAGGCUCACCAAGGCGACGAUCUGUAGCGGGUCUGAGAGGAUGAUCCGCCACACUGGAACUGAGACACGGUCCAGACUCCUACGGGAGGCAGCAGUGGGGAAUUUUGGACAAUGGGCGCAAGCCUGAUCCAGCCAUGCCGCGUGAGUGAAGAAGGCCUUCGGGUUGUAAAGCUCUUUCAGCCGGGAAGAAAACGCAUGGGUUAAUACCCUGUGUGGAUGACGGUACCGGAAUAAGAAGCACCGGCUAACUACGUGCCAGCAGCCGCGGUAAUACGUAGGGUGCGAGCGUUAAUCGGAAUUACUGGGCGUAAAGCGUGCGCAGGCGGUUUGUUAAGAUAGGCGUGAAAUCCCCGGGCUCAACCUGGGAACUGCGUUUAUGACUGGCAAGCUAGAGUAUGGCAGAGGGGGGUGGAAUUCCACGUGUAGCAGUGAAAUGCGUAGAGAUGUGGAGGAACACCGAUGGCGAAGGCAGCCCCCUGGGCCAAUACUGACGCUCAUGCACGAAAGCGUGGGUAGCAAACAGGAUUAGAUACCCUGGUAGUCCACGCCCUAAACGAUGUCAACUAGGUGUUGGGAGGGUAAAACCUUUUAGUACCGGAGCUAACGCGUGAAGUUGACCGCCUGGGGAGUACGGCCGCAAGGUUAAAACUCAAAGGAAUUGACGGGGACCCGCACAAGCGGUGGAUGAUGUGGAUUAAUUCGAUGCAACGCGAAAAACCCUACCUACCCUUGACAUGUCCGGAAGCCCUUAGAGAUUUGGGUGUGCUCGAAAGAGAGCCGGAACACAGGUGCUGCAUGGCUGUCGUCAGCUCGUGUCGUGAGAUGUUGGGUUAAGUCCCGCAACGAGCGCAACCCUUGUCGUUAAUUGCCAUCAUUUAGUUGGGCACUUUAACGAGACUGCCGGUGACAAACCGGAGGAAGGUGGGGAUGACGUCAAGUCCUCAUGGCCCUUAUGGGUAGGGCUUCACACGUCAUACAAUGGUCGGUACAAAGGGUCGCCAACCCGCGAGGGGGAGCCAAUCCCAGAAAGCCGAUCGUAGUCCGGAUCGUAGGCUGCAACUCGCCUGCGUGAAGUCGGAAUCGCUAGUAAUCGUGGAUCAGCAUGUCACGGUGAAUACGUUCCCGGGUCUUGUACACACCGCCCGUCACACCAUGGGAGCGGGUUCCGCCAGAAGUAGGUAGCCUAACCGCAAGGAGGGCGCUUACCACGGCGGGGUUCGUGACUGGGGUGAAGUCGGAACAAGGUA
rnacentral:rRNA from 1 species